rnacentral:rRNA from 1 species
GAUGAACGCUAGCGGCAGGCCUAAUACAUGCAAGUCGGACGGGAUUUGGGAGCUUGCUCCUUAUGAGAGUGGCGCACGGGUGCGUAACACGUAUGUAACCUACCUUAAUCAGGGGGAUAGCCUCUCGAAAGAGCGAUAAACACCGCAUCAUAUAUUUUUAUGGCAUCGUAGAAAUAUCAAAUAUUUAUAGGAUUAAGAUGGGCAUGCGGAACAUUAGCUAGUUGGUAAGGUAACGGCUUACCAAGGCUACUAUGUUUAGUGGGUUUGAGAAGAUGACCCCACACAAUAGUACUAAGACACGGACCAAACUCCGACGGAAGGCAGCAGUAAGGAAUAUUGGUAAAGGGGCGCAAGCCUGAGCCAGCCAUGCCGCGUGAAGGAAGACGGCCCUAUCGGUUGUAAACUGCUUUUGUACAGGAAUAAACCCUUUUACGUGUAAGAGGCUGAAUGUACGGUAAGAAUAAGGAUCGGCUAACUCCGUGCCAGCAGCCGCAGUAA